rnacentral:rRNA from 1 species
AACGGUGGUAAUGCCGGAUGCUCCAGUUGAUCGCAUGGUCUUCUGGGAAAGCUUUCGCGGUAUGGGAUGGGGUCGCGUCCUAUCAGCUUGACGGCGGGGUAACGGCCCACCGUGGCUUCGACGGGUAGCCGGCCUGAGAGGGCGACCGGCCACAUUGGGACUGAGAUACGGCCCAGACUCCUACGGGAGGCAGCAGUGGGGAAUAUUGCACAAUGGGCGCAAGCCUGAUGCAGCGACGCCGCGUGAGGGAUGGAGGCCUUCGGGUUGUAAACCUCUUUUAUCGGGGAGCAAGCGAGAGUGAGUUUACCCGUUGAAUAAGCACCGGCUAACUACGUGCCAGCAGCCGCGGUAAUACGUAGGGUGCAAGCGUUAUCCGGAAUUAUUGGGCGUAAAGGGCUCGUAGGCGGUUCGUCGCGUCCGGUGUGAAAGUCCAUCGCUUAACGGUGGAUCCGCGCCGGGUACGGGCGGGCUUGAGUGCGGUAGGGGAGACUGGAAUUCCCGGUGUAACGGUGGAAUGUGUAGAUAUCGAAAAAAAAAACCCCACCC